rnacentral:piRNA from 1 species
GGCCUAGGAAUGGGAAUCCUACUGUGGUA